UAAAAGUUAAGGUUUAAUUUAAAAAUUUAACAUAUUUUAAAAUAUGAUAUUUAAAUAAAUUUUUAACGAAUUGGAAUUUGAUGAAACAAAAUAUAGAUCCGACGACGAACCCUCCCUUUCCAGUGAGUUCUCUCUCUCCCCAUCAGUUUCUUCUCUCUCUACACGCUUAUAGCUCCAUACCUAAGAACUCUGGUUUCGAUUCGAUUCGAUUCCUACACGCUUAUCUAUCGAUUUUCGAGGUAAAAUUCAUCGACAAACAGGAAGGGGUGUGACCAAAUGUGGCUGGCAAUACCAAGGAUUGUGGGGACAUGAACAGUGGUUUGAAAUGAGUGCAGAUAUGGUUGACAUUGUUGACAAAACACAUGAUAGAGAUGGAGCUAUUGUUGAUACUCCUAAAAAGGACGAUAUGGGGAUUGAAGGGGAUGCUGAUUUUGAGCCACGAAAUGGUAUUGAGUUUGAGUCACAUGAGGCAGCAUAUUCUUUUUAUCAGGACUAUGCCAAAUCUAUGGGAUUUACAACCUCAAUAAAAAACAGUCGCCGAUCAAAGAAAUCAAAAGAAUUUAUUGAUGCCAAAUUUGCAUGUUCUAGAUAUGGAGUUACACCAGAAUCAGAUGGCGGCAGCAGUAGACGUCCGAGUGUGAAAAAGACAGACUGCAAAGCCAGCAUGCAUGUGAAGAGGCGUAAAGAUGGAAAAUGGUAUAUUCAUGAAUUUAUAAAGGAUCAUAAUCACGAGCUUUUACCAGCCCUAGCAUAUCAUUUUCGAAUUCAUAGAAAUAUAAAAUUAGCUGAAAAGAAUAAUAUCGACAUUUUGCAUGCUGUUAGUGAACGAACAAGAAAGAUGUAUGUUGAGAUGUCUAGACAAUCUGGUGGGUAUCAAAAUGUUGACAUUCUUGGUGAUGGCACAAGUUAUCAGUCUGAUAAAGGGCGAUACUUGGUUCUAGAGGAGGGAGAUGCACGAGUUAUGCUCGAGUAUUUCAUGCACAUCCAGAAGGAGAAUCCACAUUUCUUCUAUGCGAUAGAUUUGAAUGAAGAGCAACGUCUUAGAAAUUUGUUUUGGGUUGAUGCUAAAAGUAGGAAUGACUACAUCAGUUUUAGUGAUGUUGUUUUCUUUGAUAUGAGCUAUAUAAAAAGCAACGACAAGAUGCCAUUUGCUCCUUUUGUAGGGGUAAACCAUCACUUUCAGUCAAUGUUGCUUGGGUGUGCAUUGGUUGCAGGUGAGACUAAAUCAACAUUUGUUUGGGUAAUGAAGACAUGGCUUAGAGCAAUGGGUGGGCAAGCUCCCAAAGUGAUAAUCACCGAUCAAGAAAAAGCCUUAACAGCUGCAAUUGAAGAAGUUUUCCCAAGUGCACGACAUUGCUUUUCUCUUUGGCAUAUAUUAGAAAAGAUCCCUGAAGCUCUUGCUCAUGUAAUCAAAAGGCAUGAGAAUUUUAUGGGAAAAUUCAACAAGUGCAUUUUUAAGUCAUUGACAGAUGAGCAAUUUGAUAUGAGAUGGUGGAAGAUGGUCAGUAGAUUUGAACUUCAAGACGAUGAAUGGAUUCUUUCAUUAUAUGAAGAUCGUAAAAAAUGGGUGCCUACUUACAUGAGAGAUAUGUUUUUAGCUGGAAUGUCAACAACUCAGCGUGCCGAAAGUGUUAAUGCUUUCUUUGAUAAGUACAUUCAUAAGAAAAUUACUUUGAAAGAGUUUGUAAAACAAUAUGGGAUGAUUCUCCAAAAUAGGUAUGAAGAGGAAGCUAUAGCUGAUUUUGAUACAUGGCACAAACAGCCCGCCUUAAAGUCUCCUUCACCUUGGGAAAAACAAAUGUCAACAGUUUACACACAUACAAUAUUCAAGAAAUUCCAAGUUGAGGUUUUGGGUGUAGUUGGGUGCCACCCUAGAAAAGAGAGUGAAGAUGGAACAAAUGUGACAUUUAGAGUUGAUGACUGUGAAAAGGAAGAAAAUUAUGUGGUGACAUGGGAUGAGGCAAAGUCAAAUGUUUCUUGUUCGUGUCUUCUCUUUGAAUACAAAGGUUUUCUUUGCAGACAUGCGAUGAUUGUUCUCCAAAUUUGUGGUCUUUCAAGCAUCCCAUUUCAUUAUAUUUUGAAAAGGUGGACUAAACACGCAACAAGCAGGCAAUCAAUGGAUGAAGGAACAGAACGUAUACAAACUAGGGUGCAACGGUAUAAUGAUUUAUGUAAACGAGCCAUUGAACUGGGUGAGGAAGGAUCUGUGUCGGAAGAUCGUUACAAUAUUGCAUUUCGUGCACUAGUCGAAUCUCUAAAGAACUGUGUGGAUGUUAAUAAUAGAAAUGCUGCAGAAUCUAGUGGCAAUGCUCUUUGUCUUCGUGAGAUAGAAGAAGAGCAUCAAAGAAGCCUCGCAAUUAAUACAAGUAAGAAGAAGCCUGCAAAUAGGAAGAGAAAGGUACAAUCAGAGCCUGAAGCUAUGACAGUUGAGCCACAGGACAGCUUGCAGCAAAUGGACAAUCUAAGCUCAGAUGGAAUAACCCUUAAUGGCUAUUAUGGGACCCAGCAGAAUGUGCAAGGACUGUUACAAUUGAACUUGAUGGAACCGCCUCAUGAUGGUUAUUAUGUUAAUCAACAGAGCAUGCAGGGGCUGGGACAAUUGAAUUCCAUAGCACCCAACCAUGAUGGCUUUUUUGGGUCUCAACAAGGCAUGCAUGGACUGGGACAUUUGGAUUUUAGGCCACAAUCUAAUUUCAGUUACAGUUUACAGGAUAUGCCCAAUUUGAGAUCGACUCAGUUGCACACAGAUGCUAAAAGACAUGCUUAAGGAAGAAACACCAAUAAUCAAUAGCAUUUGUAGCGAGCAGUUCCUAUAUGAAGCUUCAAUUUGCAGGUUUACAUUGUACCUAACCUGAGCAACAUGUGGUAAUCAGAAAAGUGGUUGAUUCAUGGAAGUGGUUCCAGAGUGCUCCCCGGGCUGUUUCUCCAGAAUAUAAAGAAUGUCUGCAAGGGGGCGUGCGUGAGCUUGGUUACACCUUCAUGGGUACUGGAGAUUUUUGUCUGUUGUAAUCAUGUUGGAAAUGUAUAUGUUAAGUUGUAAAGAGAUGGCAAAAGAGUUUUGUUUUCAUUUCUCUUUAUGCAUUUUAAGCAAUUGAUUGAUUUAGCAAGAGCUUCUUUUGUAAAAAUUCUUCAAAAAACUAUAUAUAUAUGUAUGUGUAAAUUAUUUUUAUUUUUUAUGUAUUAAUUACAUAUAAAGAACAAUCAUAGUUGCUGUCAGCAAAGAAAAUGCUUGUGGGUGAAAUUGAAUUCGUUUUUAAUUCCAUGAUUUGCCGACACCAAUAGCAAAGUUUAGUUAAUUUGGACAGAGAAUCGGUGAAUUCAUGCUCUAAACUUACCUACCACCACUUUACGCUUCAAAUUGCAUAUACAAUAAAAUCACACCAUUUAUAGAAAUUGAAAUAGUUCAAAUAAUAAUUAAAUACUCGCUGAAUUGCUAGUGAUCCCAAGAUAAAACAGAUCAAUCAUUCUGAUCGUACACAGUUUCAUAUUUGCAGAAAUAAAUGGGCAUUAAUAAAAUCUUUUAGAAGAAAAUAAAGGAUAGCUCAACUAGUUAGAACCGGUGUGCCUCACUAAGAGGUCAAAGAUACAAGUUGUCACGGGAAAAACUCCUCCCUCCCUAGGCUAUGGCCUGACGUACCCAAAAAAAAAAAAAA